CUGGUUGUCCUUGGUAUUCCCUUUGUGUGUGGAGGAAGAAAGCUGCCAAGAGGAAACAACAGUUCACAAUGCGCUCAGGUUCCUGAAUGGGACAAGAGGGAUUUUCUUCGAACCCCUCCUUCUUCCUCUAUUUCUGCUUUCCCCAGGACUGGGAACAGGGAACAAGCAUCUGGUUGCCCCAGAAGAUCGAAAACUCACCUAGGAGUGAUUCCACUUUAAUAGGAGACCAGCCCAAGGAAACCAGGAGGAAGACAAAUCAGCCAGCUAGAACAGCAGCAAAGAACAGCCAGGAGAUGCCCCACACCAUUUAUGCCGCUGUGCAGCAUCCCAAACAGAAAGGAUGAAGUGCAUAAGCGCAUCAACGUGCCUACCGUCCCUGUCCUAUUGUUUCUUUUUAUUUUUCUUAUAUGUAUCCAUUUCAUGUGUUCAUAACUAUGUUUAUACUUAUACC
rnacentral:lncRNA from 1 species